rnacentral:misc_RNA from 1 species
GAUGAAGAACGUAGCGAAAUGCGAUAAGUAGUGUGAAUUGCAGAAUUCAGUGAAUCAUCGAAUCUUUGAACGCACAUUGCGCCCCUUGGUAUCCCGAGGGGCAUGCCUGUUCGAGCGUCAUUUCACCACUCAAGCCUGGCUUGGUGUUGGGCGACGUCCCCUUUGGGGACGCGCCUCGAAACGCUCGGCGGCGUGGCACCGGCUUUAAGCGUAGCAGAAUCUUUCGCUUUGGAAGUCGGGGCCCCGUCUGCCGGAAGACCUACUCGCAAGGUUGACCUCGGAUCAGGCAGGGAUACCGGCUGAACUUAAGCAUAUCAAUAAGCGGAGGA